CAGCCGCCGCGGUAAUACGAAGGGGGCUAGCGUUGCUCGGAAUGACUGGGCGUAAAGGGCGCGUAGGCGGUUUUGACAGUCAGAUGUGAAAUUCCUGGGCUUAGCCUGGGGGCAGCAUUUGAGACGUCAAGACUAGAGUGUGAGAGAGGGUUGUGGAAUUCCCAGUGUAGAGGUGAAAUUCGUAGAUAUUGGGAAGAACACCGGUGGCGAAGGCGGUAACCUGGCUCAUUACUGACGCUGAGGCGCGAAAGCGUGGGGAGCAAACAGGAUUAGAUACCCCGGUAGUCCCUGUCUCUUAUAC
rnacentral:rRNA from 1 species